GAUGAAGAACGCAGCGAAAUGCGAUAAGUAGUGUGAAUUGCAGAAUUCAGUGAAUCAUCGAAUCUUUGAACGCACAUUGCGCCCCUUGGUAUUCCAUGGGGCAUGCCUGUUCGAGCGUCAUUUCAACCAUCAAGCCCCCAGGGGCUUGUGCUGGGGCCCUGCGGCUGCCCGCAGGCCCUGAAAACCAGUGGCGGGCUCGCUAGUCACACCGAGCGCAGUAGCACAUCUCGCUCAGGGCGUGCGGCGGGCUCCUGCCGUGAAACCCCCCACUGUAACCCCAAAGGUUGACCUCGGAUCAGGUAGGAAUACCCGCUGAACUUAAGCAUAUCAAUAAGCGGAGGA
rnacentral:misc_RNA from 1 species